ACAUGCGGCCACAGCACGUGGAAUAUAGACGAUCCCGUUCGCUCUCGUGAACUCAAGCCUCGUUGCGGCGGAUUAGUAGUCAAGUGGGUGACCAUUGGCGAAUCCCCGCUGCUGCAUGUU
rnacentral:rRNA from 1 species